ACUCAUAAUAUUUUUAUUUCAUUGUCAAUCGAUUUAAAUCCGUUGCCGAUUUAUGUGAGAAAUAGUAUUACUAAUAUUCCUUAUCUUAUUUAAUCAUUUACCCAUCACCUAGCGUAUCUAUUAUUAUUAUUUUAAGUCUAAGGCCCAUAUAUAUAUGUAUGUAUAUGGUAUAUAGUUAGAUGAUUUAAUUAUUUAUGUCCUUAAGCCCAAACAAUUGUAGGCUUAAGUUUUAUGUUUUUUUUUAUUAUUAUUAAAGCCCAAACUAGAUACUUCAGCGUGAGAGAAAAAAAAAAAAAAAGAAUGAUUUCUAUCUGACACAGAUCAGAUUUCUGCCAGCGUCUUUACACUCACCGAGAAAUCCUUUCUUGCAAAUCUGCCCAAACCCUUCCUCUUCCCUGACACCUUUUUCACUCUUCUUCUUUAGUAACAUUCCCACCAGAACAUUCCCACUCUUUGGCUCAUCAAUCUGCAGUAACUCCAUCUCCCCCAUUCACUUCUCACUUUCACUAUUCUAUUGCUACUUCAAGAACUCAAGUUCACCAUACAUCUUGAUCAAGCAAAACCACAAAACACAAUCACACCAAACAAAUCCAAAAUCAGGUUCGUUCAUUCUCUAUUCUACAAACUUUACAUUUCUUACCAUUACACUUGAUAAAUUUCUGGAUUUAGAACUCAAAUCCUUAGGCCACAACGAGAACUUUGACAUGAUCUUGCUCACUGUAUUGCCUUGAACCAAUAAGAAAAAUACAAGAGAAAGGAAACUGAAAUCGAAUCUGCACCAAAAAUUUAAUCUUCUGCAAAGAUCAUAUCUUCCUUUUAAGAACAAAAUUUUCUUCUUCCUUGGACUAUUUGUGAACUGUCGAAAAAGGGGGGGGAAGGGAAUUUCUGUUUUCCUUUGGUAAUGGCCGGAGAGAAAAGGAGAGGAGGAGAGUCUUCUGCCCGGUGUGAGGACGGCGGCGGCACGGCGGCUUCCAAGCCGCCGAUUGCUCGACCAGGCCGUGAGGAAGGAGGAAGAGCAGGCUGGGCGGUAGCGCUGCUGUGGUAGAAACGUCGCCUAGGUGGCUGACCACCACAUGCAGAGGGAGAGACGACGGAGGGGGCUGGGCCGUGAGAGGGAGCACUGGAGGAUGGCGGUGGCGCAGCCGGAGGCGGCGCGCGCUGCCCGCUGCGGAAACAGCAGCGGCGGCGGCGACCAUCCUCGGCCGUCCGCUGCAGACGACGCAAGGGAGAAGAGGGUGAGGGGCGCGAGGUGGCUGGCCAUUGAUGGCUGACGGCGAGGCCAGGGCGGCGCGGCCUAAGGCCGAGCGCCGCUGACGCGGCAGAAAUGGAGCAGGCGGCGGCGGCGCUCUUCGGCCGCCUGGUGAGCGGAGGAGACGGAGGAGGAGACGGUGGUGAGUGAGGGAGGCUUCAGAACCGGCGAUCCUCGUCGGGGAUGGAGCGGGCGGCGGCGGCAGAACUUGAGAAAGAAACGGCGAAGGAUUCUGGAGAGAGGGGACGAAAGCUUGGGUUUGAAGAGAGAGAGAAAUCUUGUUUUAUCAUUUCUUUAUUUUUAGGGCUUAUUUUCCUUUAAAAUUUGGGCUUAAGUCAUCUUGGGCUUUUCUUUUCUUUUCUUUUCUUUUCUUUUCUCUUCUUUUUCUCUAUGGGCCGAUUUUAUUGAGCUGAUGGGCUGAUUUUAUUAAUUUUAAAUGGGUGCUACAUUCUUAACACAAUACUUGGGCUGCAUUUUCAAUAACAAGUCUUUAAAUUAUUUUCUUUGGGCUUUAGUUGUUACUUUGGGCCUGUAAAUGUUUUAAUAAAUUUAUUAUUUUUUCUUUGAUGAAUAAGAUUUUAUAUUUUCUUUAAUGGACUAAUAAUUUUUAGAUUUAGUAUUAAUUAUAUCUAUUAAGUUAUUAAUUAUGUAUUAAAAGUUUAUGGAUUCACUUAAAGAUAUUAUACAAAUUCUUAUUCGGGCAAAGUGUAUCAAUAGUUAGCAAUCCCCAUAUUUGUUUAGAAGUUAGAAUAGCACCAAGAGACCUAUUAAGAAUAGAUUUCUUGUAGGCUUGAGGAUCAGGAGGAUUAGCACUGCGUUUCCGUGACGGGUUUACGAUUAAACUACAGGCUUUGCCUAUUCAGGUUGAUCAGUUGGUGCAGAUGAGGCUGAGCUGAGGCUAAGGUUCCACGAUGUCUUUUGCUUCCGCUAAUAACUAUCUUGUCACCUCAUCCUCCAUCCCUUAAAUUGAGAAUUUCUAUUGUGUGGUAUAAUAUUAUCUUGUUGGGCUUAGACUCUUAACCCAUAUUUCUUUUAAUGAAGCCAUCACUGAUUAUGAUCAGAGUCACGAAACUAAACUUAUGCGAUCCUGAGUUCGAAUAUUGUCAUUUGAUUAGCAUCUCUUAAUGCCUUUCAUUUUAUCUC